CUUCAGUAACGAAUUUUGACUUGAAAGUCAUGAUAUAAGGCAAGUCAAGAAAAUAAAUCCCCACAACAAUAAAUUCAGCUCUAGUGAGAUCAAGAAAUUUCUCCGUGAUCCAAAGUAUUCAACACUAGUCAAACUAUUAGGCUGAAGCAAGAUUUUAUAUCCAUUUCAAAAGAAUAAUUCUAUAACUUAGUGGUUCAAAAAUCCCCGAGUUUAUUAAAAAAUCCACUGUUAAUUCCUGAGCAAUUCCUAAAAAUUAUUUUAUCAGUUUACGAUUUAUUCUAAUUUAACUAAAAAUUCUCGAUAAAUCCUUAGUUCAGAUUCCGAUUUCUACAAUCAUACCUUAACUUCGUAUCAAAUAGCGAAAAACAAAAUGAAGAUACAAGGGAAAACAAACCUGAAUACAAUUGAAGAAUUUGGCGUCCUUAUUUUCUGAUUCCAGGGCAUACAUCGUAGGGUACUGAACAUUAUACCUGUAAUUCAAUUACAAACAUUUUCAAAAACUAUUAAUUAAAAAAAUAAAGCUAAAAAAUGAAAAUGAAACGAGAUUUUAUACUUCUUGCGAGCCUUGCUGACUUGAGAACUCAUCCAAAAGUUGAGAAUCCCAGCGAGGGCGAGAAUCAAGACCACGUAUCCGUACUCUCUGGGCAGCAUUUCGACUCCGGCCAUCGUUGUUUUCUCCGGCGAAUAUUAAGUAGUGAUGUGUUUUUGAAA